rnacentral:rRNA from 1 species
GACGAACGCUGGCGGCGUGCUUAACACAUGCAAGUCGAACGGAAAGGCCCUGCUUUGGUGGGGUGCUCGAGUGGCGAACGGGUGAGUAACACGUGAGUAACCUGCCCUUGACUUUGGGAUAACUUCAGGAAACUGGGGCUAAUACCGGAUAGGAGCUCCUGCUGCAUGGUGGGGGUUGGAAAGUUUCGGCGGUUGGGGAUGGACUCGCGGCUUAUCAGCUUGUUGGUGGGGUAGUGGCUUGCCAAGGCUUUGACGGGUAGCCGGCCUGAGAGGGUGACCGGCCACAUUGGGACUGAGCUACGGCCCAGACUCCUACGGGAGGCAGCAGUGCGGAAUAUUGCACAAUGGGCGGAAGCCUGAUGCAGCAACGCCGCGUGCGGGAUGACGGCCUUCGGGUUGUAUACCGCUUUCGCCUGUGACGAAGCGUGAGUGACGGUAAUGGGUAAAGAAGCACCGGCUAACUACGUG